GAGUUUGAUCCUGGCUCAGAUUGAACGCUAGCGGGAUGCCUUACACAUGCAAGUCGAACGGCAGCACGGACUCCGGUCUGGUGGCGAGUGGCGAACGGGUGAGUAAUGUAUCGGAACGUGCCUAGUAGCGGGGGAUAACUACGCGAAAGCGUAGCUAAUACCGCAUACGCCCUACGGGGAAAGACAGGGAUCGCAAGACCUUGCACUAUUAGAGCGGCCGAUAUCGGAUUAGCUAGUUGGUGGGUAACGGCUCACCAAGGCGACGAUCCGUAGCUGGUUUGAGAGGACGACCAGCCACACUGGGACUGAGACACGGCCCAGACUCCUACGGGAGGCAGCAGUGGGAAUUUGGACAAUGGGGAAACCCGUGAUCCAGCCAUCCGCGUGUGCGAUG
rnacentral:rRNA from 1 species